rnacentral:lncRNA from 1 species
UGAGCUUAGUGUAAAUGUGAAUAUGUAGGAGACAGAGCAAAGAAAGAGAAACAUCUUGUACUCUUGACCAUGUCCUCUUUUUCCUUUUCUUUAAGUUUUGGUAGUCACAGUAAAUACUUGCUUGAAAGUCAAUGAUAAUUGUAAUAUGCCUUUUCACAGAUCUUUUUUCAUUACACAGACAGAACAAAAACAAUGAGUUAUAGCCACAAAUCUAAUAGGCUUACAUGAAGAAUAUCUCUUCUAAGCUGGGCUUUUACGUUUUUGAGGGCUAAAACGUUUCCAAAAGUCACACUAUACAAAUAUCAGUCAAUCACAUACUUAGAGCAUCUGCAACAGUGAAUCCUCUAUGGAGUUCACACAGAUUUCCAGAAAAAAAAUAUUAAAAUAAUAAAUAGUGUUGAACCCCAUCUCUUUCCAGCUCUUCCCACUAAACCUCUGUCCAACGAGUUCAACACUGUUUCGCGGACUCCACGACACGUGGCGGUCUGCAACUGAUUCGAUUUUUUUAUUUUUUUAAAUCAAACAGUAAAACAAAAAUAAUAAUAAAAAAUUAAAAACAUGAAUUCUAAGAAAAUUUCACUGAUGCAGAUGCUCUUACAAUAAGGUAGAAACGAUAUAAACAUUCUUUGCUAAGCAAUCACAGGGCUUCACGUGUCCAACGACGAUCGAUCAAUCUUUCAUCACUAUAACCUUAAAUGUAUAAUAUUUACACAAACACCACUUGCUCCAAUACUUUUCAACGCCCCGAUUGGAAAAGUUGUGAACGUCCCGAUUCGGUAGGUUUGAAUGAAGGAAUUCAAGUCCUUCCUGUACCUAAAUAAAGGUCAGAAAGGUAAUUACCCAAAUCCUUAGGGACGUAUCUGACAAUAUCCCCCCAUGUCUCCACGUGGUACUUUUCAUAAAACAAAGAAGCAACAUAAGUUAGCUUCUUCGCCACGGAAUCUUUCAAACCCUCUCUCAUUUUAGUAUCCGGCACGACCCAACCGCUCUGCUUCCGAAACGCUUCCUCAAACNNNNNNNNNNNNNNNNNNNNNNNNNNNNNNNNNNNNNNNNNNNNNNNNNNNNNNNNNNNNNNNNNNNNNNNNNNNNNNNNNNNNNNNNNNNNNNNNNNNNUCUCGGAGAUCCCACCUUGUAAAGAAGGUCGCUCUUCUCGGCCCUCGAAGACGAGUCUUGGAGCGUAGGUUUGUUCUCCGAUCCCUGAGCUUACGAUGGCUUUGAGAAGGAACUUGUAUUCGUUUAAACCGAGGUUCUUGUUUCGGUGAAUGAUUUCUCCGCUGAACUGAGUGCUCACCAUUCGGUCGUCCGAUGGUUUAUGACAUUGGUAGUCUAAGAUGUAGCAGUCUUUGUCUUUCUUUGAGUCUAUGAGUUUACAGAUCUUGAAGAAGAGAUACGAGAGAAGAAGGGAGAAGAAGAGAAGGAGAAGAUCCAUAUUAUUAUUCUUUUUCUUUAUUUUUUUGUUUGUGUGUUUGUUUUUUGGGGUUAAGAAGAGAUGAUGAAGUGAGUAAGCUGCAUGAGAAUAUGGUGGAGAUUGUGAAGGGGAUUAUAUAAGAUAAAUCAUUAGAAUGGAUGAGGAAACGACAGCUCUGAACGUUUCAGUGGGUUCUACAUCUCCGUUGAUUUUUUUUUGUUUGGUGAGAACUUUAAUAUUUUAGAAUAAACAAAACUAAAUAUACUUAUUUCUACAGCCCAAGUUUGCGGUGAAUUUUGUGACUUAGGAUUUAGGAGAUAAGUGGGGACGCGUUGAUGUUGAUGUAAAUGGAUAUGCAAUGUAGAAGAAGUCUUAACUUGCUCCUUUAUUAAAACACAAAGAAGCUUUCUUACAACAAGGCUACGGUUUACCAUUAUGUAAUUGUAGUAUUUAUAGCACUGUCGAUACUUUAUUUUCGUCUAUUGUUGAGUUGUCGAAUCUUAUCUCGCGAACAUGAACAUGUUGUGUUUUCAUAUCGGCUGGACACAUAACCUAUCCUCCUCCUUUUUGGAGUUUUUGUUUCUCUCUUUAGUACAACGUAUUUGUGAGUUCGCUUGUAGAAAUUUAUCGUAUAACUACGAAAUAGUCACGAUGCGUUUGUGACUAAUUUUUAAAAAAUCAUUAAAUUAUCACAGAUAGUAAAAAAAAUCAAAAAUAUGACCAGUCACAAAUAUAUCAUGAUUAAAAAUUAGACAUGCUUUACUAUAAAUAUUGAUAUACUUUGCUUGGUUUAAAUUAUGUUUUAAAGCUUCGAUUUGGGAUCAAAAGUCGUUGAUUACUGAUAUAUGCUAAUUUUUAAAAAGAAAAAUAUAAGUAUAGCAAAAGAAGAGGCUAAAACAGAAUUGAGCUCAUUUUCUUUGUUUGGCUAUGCAAAGUGAUUACCACAUAUGCUAUAAAUCAUUCAUAAUAUCUAGAUCGACUAUUACCUAUAUAUAGAUGCUAAGAGAUAUUCCCUAUACCACAUUUCUUUUGAUGUCUAGCACUCAAUUUUAAUUUCGUAGUUUGGUUCUAUGAAUUAUAAUUAAAGAGAACUUUAAAAUGUGAGUCUGAGCAAAGCAAGGGAGGAGACAAGUAACCCAAAAAUUAAAUUAAAUACAUGCAAGAGAGUGAAGUUAUCUUGAGUCAUCUCAACGUCCACCAACCGAAUGUGGUUUGAGUAGAGGAUUACGUAUUAAUCUUUCAUUAGCAAACCCUUUGUCUCACACCUUCUGCGUGCGUUUCUUCGUAUUUCUUCACCUUCUCUUCCGUCUGUUGUUCUAAACACCUAGUAUGUCUUUACUUAAUCUUUCUCUCUCUCUCUCCUAGUAUGUAUUUAAUUCAUCUCCCACUCCAACAAAGUUAGGUGUACAUGUAUAACCUUAAUGUGUAUUACGUCUCCCGAAACUUACUACUAUCAAAGUAUCAAUGACAAUGUGGAGUAAUUUCAAUAUACUCGUUUCUGUAAAUAGGAACUUUUAGACUGCCUAGUUCUGCCGUUUUAAUUGCAGUGGCAAAAUUUGGAUUUGAAAUGUAUUUUGAUAUCUAUUCUAUUAAAACAGCAACAUGACCUAUUGAUAUAGUUGUGGUCCAACUAUUUUAGUACAAUUAUUAAAACUUCUUAUUAAUCAUUUAAGAUAAAUAUUAUACAAAAAACAAAUAUAACUAAAACACACACAAAUAUAAAAAUUAAAUUUCUCAAAAAAUGUAAAACAAAAAAUAUACCGCCCUUAAAAGGGCGGGUCGGAAUAUAAUUUUACAUUUUUAAGACAGAUUCAGUUACCGACUUUUUUCUCCAACAAUACAACGGUCCUGGAGUCCAGUUUAGAGUCCAAUAAUAUUAAAAUAACAUAUAUUAUUUUAGAUUUAUAAAUACAGUAAAUAACAUUCUCCCUGGCAAAAUAUUAUACACAACUGGUGUUCAAAGUUGAUGGAUAAGUUAUUUACAAAUUAUCAUGUAAAAAAGGAAUAAAUAUAUAUAUUUGUUUUUUGUUAUUUCUAAUCAGAAUUUGACAGUUAUUUAAUUAAAGAGCAUAAUUUUCUAUGAGCACUAAGCCCAGUAUCACAGCAAAAAAAUUACUAAUAUAUAUAUAUAUAUAUAUAUUUUUUUUUUUGUUAUACCUAAUCAAAAUUUGACAGUUAUUUAAUUAAAGAGCAUAAUUUUCUAUGAGCACUAACCCCAGUAUCACAGCAAAAAAUUACUCAUUAUGUACUUUGCUUUUAACUUAACUAAUUUUCUUUAUUAACCAUAUGUGAUAUGCAUUAGUGUGACAAGCUAGUUGAAUAACGACUAUUAGUAAUUUUGUAGUCGGCAAAUUAGAAUAAUACGAACAGAAAAUGAAAACAAAUAAUUAGCAUUGAGUACUGUAAAUACUAUAUCUUCAUAGUUGAAUAAUAGUUUUUUUUUUCUGAAAGACGUAUAGUGAAUAAUACUUUUUCUUUUGUUUGUAAAAGAUCCAAACUGUAGAAGACUUAGUAAUCUGAAAUGUAUUUCCUUUGUCAAAAUAAAAUAAUCUGAAAUGUAUUUCAUAGCGUUUACAUUAGCAAUUAAUUAGUAAUCCUCUUUAUUAAAAAAUGAACAAAAUAAACAUAUUUUUAACAAAUAAACAUUUUUAACUUUUUGGACAAAUAACAUUUUUUAACUAAGUAAACACUUUUGGUGUGAAGUUAUAAUCAGUUGUCAAUUCUAGUUUGACUUUCACAUUAUGGUUUAGAUAGAAUCAUGGUAAGAAUAAGAUGAUUGAAAAGUUGGUUGUUUGAUAGAUUGACGACGAAAUGUAUAUAAAUGCAGUCAACAAGGCUGCUAGAAAUUGUGUCAAAAUCUAUUUAUACCAGUGAAAGCAAAGAUUGUACUUAAAGAGUCUUGGAGACUGAGAUUAUAAAUGAGGAGACGACAUUAGUAGUCAAGCAAGACGACUUCGUCCGAUUUUCUUAUAUAUUAAUUUUCUUUAGAAAAUGGAUAUAACAAAGCUGCAAUCGCCGUUAUAAUCCCAAUAAAUACACAUUCAUAACAAUACAAGAAUCAAUCAAAUGCAUGAGGUGUAUUUUUUUUAAAUGCACGAAGUUGGAUGUGCAAAAUAAACAGUGACAAAGAUUGAUACCAAACACAUUAACAUUCUCCACUUACUAUCCAUUAUCUGCCUGGUCAACUCUGUAUAUUAUCACACUUACUUGGUCCUAUAAUGUAAGUGCGAUAAGAAAGGAACAAUGGUAGACACAUAGAGACACCAAGGCCAAUGACAGCAACGAUAAAGAUCAUCGACAAAAUAUUUUGAACAUGAUCAUUGCUACCAGCAAGAACGGUGAUUUCAGCUUUGAUGAAGUCUUUAAAGUCUCACUAAAAUAGUCCUUUAAAACCACACGGACGUAGUCGAGUGAUACAUCAGGUUUGGAAAGGUUCUAAAUGUCCCAGAUUUGAAACUUAUCACUUAAAUUUAGAUUUAAAACUUAUCACUUAAAUUUACCAAUUUGUGUGGUCAUAUAGUGUGGAUGUCUAACUUCCAUGUAGAAGCAAUCUGGUUUAUCUGUCACUGGUAGGCCAGCCUCCAAAGAAUUAAUCGAGUCUUCGGGUUCGAUCAAGCUUGGGUUAUCAUCAGACAAAAAAAAAGUCAUUUAACCAUAAACAUUGAAUAAUAAUCUAUAUUGGAUAGCAAAAUAAUACUAGCUAGUAGCUACAUGUAAUAAAGGGCGCAACUGUAUUAUUGAAUGCAAUACAGUAGUAGUUUAGAAGAAUUUCCAAAUGAUGGAAGAAUUAUUGAAACUUUCCUUUGGCGGCAUAAAGGUGAAAUAUAUAUAUGAUAUAUAAUUAAAAUUAUAUUGAAAUUUCGUGCUAUAUCUAUAAUGAAAAGAUACUUGAUAGAGUUACGUUGUAAGUCUUAGGUCUUUUUCUCAUUUGGAUGCUUGACCAUAUGCAUUAUACAUUACGUAUAGUAAUUAUUCAAAGAUACCUACCACUCCUUGGUGUGCCGUCGCCAUAUAUACAAUACUUGUCCAUACCAUCGUAUUCGAGUAAAUAUACGUAUCAAAACAAAAAUAAUAUUAUUAAUCUUUUAUUGUUUUGGGGGUUUCUGGUUAUGACUUUAAUAACUUACUAUAUACAUGCCGUUGUUUGUACAUUUACAUGUAUACAUGCACAUGGGGAGCUAUGUCGAGUGACUUGAGUCUACUCUCUCGUUUAUUUAAUCCGAUUCUCUGUUAUCAUAUAAAUUUUCUCUACAUGAUAAUAUAUAACAAUCAAUAAAUGAGUUCUAACUUAAACGAGGCACCCCCAUCUGUCUCUUUAUAAACAAAGAAUAUUAAAACCAAAUUUCUAAUUUUGGUCCAACAUGCUGCAUGUGAUCAGGUUUUAUAGAUCAAACAUGACAAUGUGUAUAUAACAUGUAAAAUUAUUCAUAUCUACAGAAAAAGCAAGACAAUAUGUUUUUUUUUUUUUUUUAAAGGGCAUUCUAUUUAAAAAGACAAAGUAUUAGAUCACAUAGUUUGGAAAAGUUUGAUACAUAAAGUAGAAAAUAAAGAGCUAAUAAACCCAAAAGAUUAGUACAACUCUUUAGUUUGACCAAGAUAAGAAUGAUACUUGUCCGCUUGAUUUAGGAACUACGACCCCUACGGUCUCGUUUCCCUUUUCCACGAACUGUGAACCAUUCGUUUCCUUGAUAUUUUUGUGUAGGCUUAACCAACCUACCGCUUCUUGUCAUACUUCCAAAUUCAUCCAUUUGUUCGGUAAUACAGAGAUCACUCUCUAUAUCACCAAGCUCUUGGUUGGAUUCAGUUGAAAGAAGGGUCAUGGUUAAAGGAUCAUUUCCUGAGAAUACCCUCACUGAUGAUAAUAUCUGAUGGAACAUUGUCCAUAAUUUGGUGGAAAGUGGGAGAAGAUGAUGAACCUGCUAAUGUAGCUACUAGAAUAGAUUUGGCUUCCAAAGAUGAGUGAGAGACAGUAGAGCUAUCCUUCUGAGUAGUAGCUAUCGGAGAGUGAGCAGGGAAGUGUGGUGGCGUUGAAAGAACCUGCUCAACACCAGCUUGGGUUUCCAUUUCUGAAUUUUCAACUUGUACCAUCUCAUGAUCUGAGACAACAGUGAACUGACCUUAUUCUUUAUCGGUUUGACUCUUUGGUGAUUCAUUAGACAAAUCUUCAGUGUGACUUGUUUCUUGAACAGCUGGGAUAAGACACCUUCUUUCCUUAUGUCCUAAUUGCCCACAUCUGCCGCAAAUAUUCGGGAUCCAAGUGUACUCAACAUCCACCAAAAAUAUAUUACCUUGUUUGUCAUCUAAAGCAAUUUGCUUUGGGAAGGGCUUAUCAAGUUCUACUCCAACCAGCAGCUUUGCUUCUCCCAAACAAGUCGGAUCAAGGCGAGGUUUGUGCGUUUGCAUAAGCUCACCAAGUCCUGAUGCAACAUGGCUGAGGCCUAAUCUUGAGUAGCAAGACAAUAUGUUUGGCCCAGAGUUAUGGUUGGAAUGUCAUUGAUGUUCUUGGAGUACUUUGUUGUUGGUACAAGAGUAGUUUUCCAUGAUAAAAAAUAAUGAAUUUAACUGUUUUGCAAGAACGCAAAUGUAUUUGUUACAAAGAUUUCAUUAUAUGCUCAAAAAUUAAGUUUUUAUAGUUUAUAAUUGCCAGAGUUUAAAGGAAGUACAUUCGAAUGGUGUCAAUGCGGGACCGGUCACAAGCGAGAAAUUGUGUCACGAUUUGACAUUAACUACUGCGACGUGAAUUGUUAAUACACUCUGGGGUAACUAUUUUUUAUGAAUGAUUCUCUAAUAACGUCUGCUAACUAUCUGUUUAGUAGCAGCUGAAGAUACCAUAUUCGUAAUAUUUACUGCUAAAUUUAGUGCCAAUCAUACUAAAUACCUGUUUGGUAGCACCUAAAGAGACCAUAUGUUAUUCGUCAUAUUUACUGCAAAAUUUAGUGCUAAUCAUACGCGAAAGAUUUGCCACAGUUGAAAGUUUAUUACACCCUCCGUUUCAAAAAAAUCUAUAUUUUAGAAAAAAAAUUGUUUCAAAAAAAUAUAUAUAUUACAUUUCAAUACAUAAAUUAAUUGUAAAUUGUAAACUUAAAAAACAUAAUGGUGUUUAUAAAGAUUUUAUUGGUUAAAAGUAUGGGGAACAGUUGAUAAAGAUGCAUUAUAGUAACUAAAAUCUGAUAUCUUUUUUUAAUAAAUGUGAAAAACCUAAAACUUACGUAUCUUUUUGAGACGGAGGGAGUAUCGUAUCAAUAAAUCAUAAAACUGUUCCAAUUUGUAAAACAGCUCUACGGCAACCGGCAGGGACAGGCUUUAACUGUUUCACAAAAAUAUAGUAAUAUAGUUUUGUUCUAAUUCUUGAUUAUUAAUAAUUUUAGCAACUCUUUAUUUCAUAUCCAAACGUUCAUCAGCUUUCCGCAAUAUACAAGGUUCGGUAUUUUAUUAUUGAAUAUUGACCAACCUAAUAACAAGAUGUCGGAUUUUGGAGCAUAAGCAAAGAAAUCGAACGUUUACGGUAUCAUAAUUUUAAGCGAAAAUUUCCGUUGUAUAUAGGGUAUUAAAAACAUAAAUAACAAAAGCACAAAUUUUUAAGUUAGCAUAGAGCAUCAAGAAAAAUUGAGAAUAUCGCGGCAUUGUGUCGGAUGCAAUCAUUCUUACUCUUGUUUAUUUCAUCACUAGAGAGAGAGAGGUAAGCAUAUUCCGCAUAUAUUAACUCUUAACAUACGAUAUAUGUCACGGGAAGACAUUAGAUUAGUCGACUACUUCCUCCGUUUCACUAAGAUAGAUGUUUUAUAAAAAAAAAUUGUUUUACAAAGAUAGAAUUAUAAAAAAAAAUUGUAAACUUCAAUAAAAUUUAUUAAAUUUAUUGAAUUACUAUUGGUUAAAAGUUAUUAAAACUUGAAAAUUACAGAAAACGAUACAUUUAUUAUAGUGAUUUAAAAUAUUUUUUUUAAUAUGUACGGAAAUACUAUAAAAUUUAUCUUUGUGGAAGGGAUCGAGUAUGUUAACUAUCACAUUUGUGUUAAAACUGUCUUAAUCCGUUCUGGUAGCAGGUACGUUGUUCAAUCAUUUUCGUAACCCAUUAGAAUUAAAGAUAUAACAGGCAUGAAUAAUUUAUAUCUUAAAUCUUCUUUAAAAUAUAUUUGUAUUUAGCGGUUUAUAAACAAGUCAACUUGACUGAACACAUUUAAAUUCAGUACUAAUAAAUUAUAGCCUAAAGUAAUAGCGUCUAGCACAUAUUUUCAAUUGCUAUUCAUAUACUGUAUAAAUUAUUGUCUCUAUUAUAGUAUACUACAAAGUAAAAUGCUAAGACCAUAUUGAUCAAUGCAUGUUCUUAUGGUAGGGUUCUCAGUGUAAUAUAUAAUACGUCUCUUAGUUUUUAACUAAAAAAUAUUAAAAAACGUCUCUUAAAUACGAGACAUAAAAAACGUCUCUUAACAAAAAAAUAUCAAAUCAUACUCUAAAUAUUCAAAUUAGUCUCCUCCAUUAAUCAUGCUCUAAGAUUAUUUUUGUUUGGUCAAAAAAAAGAUUAGAUAUUUUAUUCAACGUUUAUUGUUUAGUAGUGUUGUGUUAUGUUAUGUAUAUCACAAGCAAGUCAUCACACUAGCAAGCUUUGAAACCCUUUGUUAGGAAAAUUCUUCGAAAUGAAAAUUUCAUUAAACAGACUAACCUGCGUUUUCUUUAAAACAUAAUACAUUAACCUUAGUAUUCUUUCUUUUGUCUGAGUUAAUUAAAGAUAGAAUACAAUAUAUUUUUUUAUCGGUUUUCUUUAUCAGUAUAUAUGAAGAAAUGACGGUAUUCUCAAUGAUUCACUAUAUCAGCGUAUAUAUAUACAAGCGCUUGAGUUACAUACUACAAUCUUGCUGUUUCUUUAUUCACCAAGAAAAAACACAAUCAUAAGCUAAAGGCCUGAGCUUAGUGUAAAUGUGAAUAUGUAGGAGACAGAGCAAAGAAAGAGAAACAUCUUGUACUCUUGACCAUGUCCUCUUUUUCCUUUUCUUUAAGUUUUGGUAGUCACAGUAAAUACUUGCUUGAAAGUCAAUGAUAAUUGUAAUAUGCCUUUUCACAGAUCUUUUUUCAUUACACAGACAGAACAAAAACAAUGAGUUAUAGCCACAAAUCUAAUAGGCUUACAUGAAGAAUAUCUCUUCUAAGCUGGGCUUUUACGUUUUUGAGGGCUAAAACGUUUCCAAAAGUCACACUAUACAAAUAUCAGUCAAUCACAUACUUAGAGCAUCUGCAACAGUGAAUCCUCUAUGGAGUUCACACAGAUUUCCAGAAAAAAAAUAUUAAAAUAAUAAAUAGUGUUGAACCCCAUCUCUUUCCAGCUCUUCCCACUAAACCUCUGUCCAACGAGUUCAACACUGUUUCGCGGACUCCACGACACGUGGCGGUCUGCAACUGAUUCGAUUUUUUUAUUUUUUUAAAUCAAACAGUAAAACAAAAAUAAUAAUAAAAAAUUAAAAACAUGAAUUCUAAGAAAAUUUCACUGAUGCAGAUGCUCUUACAAUAAGGUAGAAACGAUAUAAACAUUCUUUGCUAAGCAAUCACAGGGCUUCACGUGUCCAACGACGAUCGAUCAAUCUUUCAUCACUAUAACCUUAAAUGUAUAAUAUUUACACAAACACCACUUCCUCCAAUACUUUUCAAUGCCCCGAUUCGAAAAGCUGUGAACGUCCCGAUUCGGUAGGUUUGAAUGAAGGAACAUUAGUACAAGUCUUUCCCGUACCUAAAUAAAGGUCUGAAAGGUAAUUACCCAAAUCCUUAGGGACGUAUCUAACAAUAUCCUCCCAAGUCUCCACGUUGUACUUUUCAUAAAACAACGAAGCAACAUAAGUUAGCUUCUUCGCCACGGAAUCUUUCAAACCCUCUCUCAUUUUCGAAUCCGGCACGACCCAACCGCUCUGCUUCCGAAACGCUUCCUCAAACACCUCGUUGAACCGCUUCAACCGCU